GGUGCCAAUGCUGAACCUUUCUGGUCUGGAUUCUUCACAAAGGGCAUGGCAAACUUGAACAUUGGGAACCUUAUCUGCAAGGUUGGUCCUGUCAGGCCUGCUCCAGGAGCUGGAGUUGUUCGAGUAGGCAGUCCUGGCCCCUCCACCAUUGCUGCUCACGCUGGGUAGAAGAAGGGAAAAGCAAAGAAGGAAGAAACUCAAAUGUCUGAUGAUGGCACACGCUUUUGUCUUUUCAAC
rnacentral:lncRNA from 1 species